rnacentral:lncRNA from 1 species
GUAGGAGUCGUGGUGCAGUCCCCAACAUGUGCAACUGUCCCCUAAGUAUUUGAUGGUGAUAUUUUUCCUUCAAUUUCUUUGUAUUGUUUUUUUAAAAGCCACAAGGUGGUUAGGAUGGGAAACAAUUUUAACUUGAGGUCAACGUUCACAUAACAUAAACCAAGUAUUUAGAAAUGUACAGUCCAUUUUGCGCAUUCACAACAGUGUACAUCUGUUAGGGUUUAGACCUGGGGUGUCCCCCAGUCCCCUGCGUUCAGAGGUGGGGCACUGUCCUCAUCAGGCGAUUCACCCCAGCCACAUCUGCCCUCCCACCAUCCAACCAGCCGGCCCCCCUUUGGCUGUUCUGAAUACUGCUGUAGGAACAGUGCCCUGCCAGUGUUGUUCGCAUACCUGUUUUCAAUGCUUUGCUUUUCAUUUUUUGAGACAGCGUCUCCCUAUGUGAGACUGCCCUCGAACUCAGCGAUCCUCCUGCCUCAGCCUCCCGAGUGCUGGGAUGACAGGCAUGUGCCCAGACCUCCUGGGCACUUUGGGGCACACUCCUCAGAGCAGAAUUACUGGGUGUAUGAGAAUUCCGGUGUUUUGCCUUUUGAGGGCUUUCUGUACCUGUGUUUUAAAGCAGUUUGGUCCCAAGGACUUAACCAAGGGGCCUCUGGGUCGCCCUCGGCUCCGUACCGGUACCAGGCCCCAACAGUGCGGCCCGCAGAGGGGGUCUAGGGCCGGGACGGCGGCCUCCCUUGCAGUGCAGCCCGCGCGCUGUGGGGGCGCUCAGGAGGCAGCCCACGCGGGGCCUCCGCUUAGGAGCAGGAAGGCAGGGGCUGCAGGAGCCUAUGGUGGAGGAGCUAGGCACCAUCGUCCAUCAAGGUUGUAACCGACGGACAUCAGGCCGAGGAGCAGAGAAGGGGCCGACCGCGGGGGAGAGCAGGAGGACAGAGCCUUCCAGGCAGACAGCGCGGCCUGUGCAAAGGCCCUGCUCCCUCUUGUGGAUGACCCGAGGGAGGAGCUGGAGGACCCAGAGCAGUGGAGACCGCAGCCGAGGCUAGAGUGGCCCCUGGAGGAGGGGCGCUCUCUCUGUCCGUCCCAGGGCUGGUUCUCCUGACUUCUCCUCGAACCCAUGGCGGGGGGGCGGGCAGGAGCUGCCAGCUCAGCGCUUCGGACUCGGGGCUCAGUCGUACAGACGUUGUGGGGGUGCUGGAAGGAAUCAGCUUGGGGGUGAAAAUCCCAGCCCAUCUCCCAGGCAGACACUGUUAGAUUGGGGGAUGGGGAGCUGCCGGGGCCUCUUGGGCUGACUGGGGGAGCCGAAGAGGUGCAGGGCGUCUGGAUGGGGGCUUUGGGGGCCCGGGCGAGGACGGCUCGGAGGGGAAGAGGGUGCGAGGAGGAGGAAGGGAACAUUACUGCACCCGCCUGCCAGACCCCGAGUCCCCCAGGCCUGCGGCGUCUCCGGUGCAGGUCAGGAGCUGCCGCCAGGCGCACCGUGGGGAAGGCGGCUGCAGACCGGGCCCGGCGGGGCGGCGCCCCGGGGAGCGUCUGUGUCAACGGAGCCCGUGCUGGAGGAAGAGCCCAGCUGGGGGGCCUGGCCCCCACGGGUGCCCAGCCCGGUGCCAUCGCUCUCCAAACCCCUCCUUCUCUGGAAUAAAGGCAGCCAGAACCCUGCUGCGAACUGCCACUCGCGGCAAAUUCCCAGGACCGACCUGCAAGUUGAGGCAGGCGCUGCUGCGCCAGAGCAGGGAGCCAGGAAGAAGGCUGGGGGAGCCAGGGUGCGAGGGGUGACCCCUGAGGCGCUGCCUCCUCCUGAGGCCCAGGGACAUGGCCGCCCGAGGGCUCCUAGAGGAACUGAGCUGCUGGGCUGCAGGGCCAGCGACGGCUCUGAGGACCCCAAGGAGGACAGAAGUAAAAGUGACUGCUCAGAACACCAGGCGCAGUCGAUGACCACACUGUGUCCGCUGCCUGGCACAUGCGCACACCCUGCAUUUCAGGGGAGCCCCACCCCUUCGAGGCCCCACCCCAAGCGAGAGGGCUGCGGUGCUGUCCCCUUGCUGCCCGAGGCCGCUUCCCUGCCUUCCCCCUGCCGCAGGACCCUUCGCCUGCCUUACUAGGUCCAGGCGUGGAGAAGGGAACCCUGGGGACCUGGGGUCGCCCACAGAUGAGCUCUCUGAGUGUCUGGCGUAGGAGAAACCCGGACUUCGGAGCUCCAGAAAAAGACGAGGUGCAGAAGAAACACGGCCUGCCUGCAGGGAGAGGCUGAAAUGUGGGUGACGCCCCAGUCCCCACUGUCUGUCGCCUGGCUCCCCUCCUCACCCCAGCUACACGGCCGGUCCGCAGCCUCUGAGCCUGACAGCUCGGGCCCAGUGGCCUUGCCCUCCUGGGCAUCUCUGGCUUUGCCUUGUGCCCAGGAUCCAGGACAUCUCAUCCUGACCACACUGGGCACACAGCUGCCUCUCAGGCUGCCCGAAUCUUCACCAUGACAGCCACCUCCCAAGCCCCAGUGCUCAGCUGGCACAAUGACCCACUUCCUAUUGUCCUUCGGACUGGCUCACUCCUAGUGGACCUGCAAUAUAUUUACUUUUUGGCACUACCAGGGACUGAAUCCAGGGCCUUCACACUGAGCUCCAUCCUUGGCCCUUUUUUAUUUUUUAUUUUCACACAGUGUCUCCCUAGAUCGCUAAGUUACCCAGGUUGGGCUCAAACUUUCGACCCUCAGCCUUCCAGAGUGCUGGGAUGACAAGUGCACUGCCACACCUGGCUGCAAACUUUACUUUUCUCUUGGAAAUGUCAAGAGAACUACUGUGAAUAACAGGCACUGUCCCGCAGCGCCAGGGGCCAGGGCCGCCUUCGGGAUUCCUCUGAGGGAUUGUAUUUCCCUUUUGUGGAUUAGCAGAGAGCCUCUCAGAACAGCCAGGCCCGAGCUACCUGCUCGCCCCGAACCGAGUCGCCGUGGCCUAGGAAGGACAACCGCCGCCCUCCACAUUUGAAGUGGACUUUGGAUUUGCU